rnacentral:misc_RNA from 1 species
UGGUUCUGGCAUNGAUGAAGAACGCAGCGAAAUGCGAUAAGUAAUGUGAAUUGCAGAAUUCAGUGAAUCAUCGAAUCUUUGAACGCACAUUGCGCCCAUUAGUAUUCUAGUGGGCAUGCCUAUUCGAGCGUCAUUACAACCCUUAAGCCCUGUAGCUUAGCGUUGGGAAUCUACGCCCCCCAGGGGCGCAGUUCCUUAAAUUUAGUGGCGGAGUUAUAGCAUACCCCAAGCGCAGUAGUUUAGCUCGCUUUCAGGGAGGCUGUAGCUGCUUGCCGUAAAAAAACCCCCUAUACUUAUAGUGGUUGACCUCGGAUUAGGUAGGAAUACCCGCUGA